UAAGGAUUAGUUUAGUUAGAACGUUAGUUUGUGGUACUAGGAGAAAUUUGUAGUUAUCUUUAA
rnacentral:tRNA from 1 species